GUACCGCAAGCCGAAGAAGGCGAGGAGUACUACACGGGAUCAGGAAGAGAGCUAUACAACAACACGGAGAACUAGAUAGACAUAAGUGCUGUAAGUAAAGAUGCUGAUAAGUAAGAAGCUGACAAAUAUAGAUGCAGGUAAAUAAAACAGUAGCUACAAUAAACAGAUAAGGAAUGUACUGAAAAUAAACACUACAGCUACUGUAUGCAUGCGUCAACUGACGAUAAGCCAAAAGUACCAAUCUCACUGCCCUAUUGGUCCGAAGACCUCCGGCCCAUGCCACACUGCUCAACCU
rnacentral:lncRNA from 1 species